GAGAACAGAGAGAACCAGCGGCUGAUAUUCAAGGAGAUUCCUGAGUGGAUUUUCGUGUCGCUCCACAGUCGGAGAACCGAUGGGGGAGAGAAGACAUGUGGAGUCAGCGUCUACCCACCUACGUGUACAGCCUUUCCAGCUCACCACCUGGUCCAGGACGGGCUGUUGGACGUACGUGUGGGAGUAGGCUGUCUGCAUAGGAACCGUUCACUGAUGAAUUCUAGAAGACACAGGUCUGGGAUGGCCCUGUGGACACAACUCCGGAAAUGAGACCGAAUGACUGCAGAGACUGGCGCCACUGAAAAACAGAGGGAAAGAAAGGGCUUAUCGGAGAGUCCUCA
rnacentral:lncRNA from 1 species